ensembl:lncRNA
CAGAAAAGAAAGGGGCCACCUGCUACUUUGUCUCCAUGCUGCUGAGGAUUAAGGCAAAGCCAGUAGACUUUAAGGAAGGGGCAGAAUGGACCUAAAAAGGAGCUAUUCAAUUGUUUUAUCUGCCAGAGCAAUCCCUGGUGAAUUUUUCUUCUUAUUGACUGAAAAAGAAGUCAUCUUCAGGAUUCUGGUUCUGUCAUUUCAUAUGCAGUAAUGCAUUUGUCAACUGGACUGAGGAGCAUAUGCCUUGGAGCUGCCUCUGUGAAGAUCACGAUGCUGCAUCCCCUGGGAGCUGUUUCAGAACCUUGAAGGGGGCAUUUUUAGUUGUUAUAACUGAGAGGCUCAAUUGGAAUUUGUGGAGCUGAGGGGGAGCCACCCGGUGAGAUGAGGAGGCUACCACAGUGCAUAGGCUGGUUUCUGCACCCCUUCUUCUCCCUGAGAGAGACUGCACUGCUGGAGGCCUUUGUCCCUGAGAGCCGCAGUAGGACACCAUCCAAAUCCAUGCUUCUGAUGAAUUACACUGCCAGACACAGGACAAGCCAGGCCUCCUUUUGGAACUGGGUGAACCAGGCUAAUUGCAAACAGUCCUAUGUCAGGCAUCUGGCGCUCUUGAGGGCCAGACCGAAAAGCCUGGGCUUGUCUCCCAUACUGUAUGGGGCCAGGCUUAGCUUAUGCUUAGCGUCCUAUGGGUCAGCAAAGGCCCUGCAUCAGCAUAACUGGAACAAGGAUGUGGUUACCACCACCACCGCCACCACGCGCACGCCUUGGAGGGCUGUCUCUGUCACAUGCUUCUGAAUUAAGAGGCCUGGAUGGUUUUUAAGUUCCAUCUAUUUGGCCAUGCCCUGCUGGCAAAUGCAGCUUCACAUAAGAUGCCUUUCGCUGAUGCCUGUCUCUGUGACCACUUCCACCCGUGGCCUUCACGUCCUGGCUGCUGGCAAGAUGUUCACUGCUCAGUGCGACGGGAGAAAGUCCCCUGACCUCAUUUGCUUGCAUCUGGAGAACCUCUCUGCAGGAUCCAGAACACUGGGGUCCGAACAAAGAUGCUUCAGAAAGCUGUGUCUGGCCAGAAAGCCCCUUUGCAGCAGCAGGAGGAGAGUUCCCAGCCCUGCUUCACAGAUUCCUGGGGUUCAGGAAGUCUCUGGAUUUCUCUAAUUUACUUUCAAUGAAAGUUCCGGGAUAAAACAACAGAGCCCUGUGAAGCUAAAGACCAGGAUGUUGCACACUGAGUAGACAGGCGGCAGACAUCCCUCACCGGGCUCCAUCAGUUAGCAAUCGGUGAUAGCCCUUUAGGUCUAGUUUCAACCAUUAAUAGCAGCAUCUAUCCCUCCCUUGCUCAUGGUUAAUCUUUCCGUGAUUUCAGUUACCUAUGAUCAACUGUAGUCCAAUAAUAAUAAGUGGAAAAUUCUAGAAAUGAGUAACUUGAAGGGACCAGCUCCCCUUUUGGCAGCCAUAACAGCCGAACACGUGCUUGCCAUAAACUUGCCUUGAUCACUUAGAGGUCAGAUGCCUGUCUUGUGACAAGGAACCCAUCAGAAGUUAGUCACUAGAAAGUCAGAUGCCUGCCUUGUGCCAAGGAACCAAUCAGAAGUUAGCUGGUGGCGCUAUGCUUUAUGACUCUGGGUGUGGUUUAUGGACAAGUGCACAGCAAUGACACACAGAGCAUAGCAACCACCCUGGGAGGGCCUAUGGGCCAUAACAACCAGUUGACCAAUCAACACAGGGCAAACCCUCCAAGCCUGGAGGCACACCAAUCGUGAGCCUGUGUGUACCCCUAGACACUCCCCUUACGCUGCCCUAUAAAGAUCUGUACGCAGCGGCUUCGAACUGUCUUUGCUAGCCAUCCGCCAUGGGUGGGUGGGUCAAAGACCCGAG